rnacentral:rRNA from 1 species
UACGUGGAGGCGCAAGCGUUGUCCGGAAUUAUUGGGCGUAAAGAGCUCGUAGGCGGUCUGUCGCGUCUGUUGUGAAAACUCGAGGCUCAACCUCGGGCUUGCAGUGGAUACGGGCAGACUAGAGUGCGGUAGGGGGAGACUGGAAUUCCUGGUGUAGCGGUGGAAUGCGCAGAUAUCAGGAGGAACACCGAUGGCGAAGGCAGGUCUCUGGGCCGCAACUGACGCUGAGGAGCGAAAGCAUGGGGGAGCGAACAGG